rnacentral:sRNA from 2 species
GACGCGAAAGCGCCGUAGGCAGGAGCGGGGGACCCAGGUAGGCGCUGGGCCCGGUCGUCGGGAGACGAACGGGGCCGGCUAGGGGUGAAGUCGCGCCAGGGGCGCGGCCGGGCAACUCACUUGGCCCGAACCCGACAGCUCACCUCGCAGGCGUCGGUGAGGAGAAGA